UACGGGGGGGGCAAGCGUUGUUCGGAAUUACUGGGCGUAAAGGGCUCGUAGGCGGCCAACUAAGUCAGACGUGAAAUCCCUCGGCUUAACCGGGGAACUGCGUCUGAUACUGGAUGGCUUGAAUCCGGGAGAGGGAUGCGGAAUUCCAGGUGUAGCGGUGAAAUGCGUAGAUAUCGUAAGGAAGACCAGUGGCGAAGGCGGGUCUCUGGACAGUUCCUGACGCUGAGGCACGAAGGUCAGGGGAGCAAACGGG
rnacentral:rRNA from 1 species